rnacentral:rRNA from 1 species
AGGGCGCACGGUGGAUGCCUUGGCACUAGAAGCCGAUGAAGGACGUUACUAACGACGAUAUGCUUUGGGGAGCUGUAAGUAAGCUUUGAUCCAGAGAUUUCCGAAUGGGGAAACCCAGCAUGAGUUAUGUCAUGUUAUCGAUAUGUGAAUACAUAGCAUAUCAGAAGGCACACCCGGAGAACUGAAACAUCUUAGUACCCGGAGGAAGAGAAAGAAAAUUCGAUUCCCUUAGUAGCGGCGAGCGAAACGGGAAGAGCCCAAACCAACAAGCUUGCUUGUUGGGGUUGUAGGACACUCUAUACGGAGUUACAAAGGACGACAUUAGACGAAUCAUCUGGAAAGAUGAAUCAAAGAAGGUAAUAAUCCUGUAGUCGAAAAUGUUGUCUCUCUUGAGUGGAUCCUGAGUACGACGGAGCACGUGAAAUUCCGUCGGAAUCUGGGAGGACCAUCUCCUAAGGCUAAAUACUCUCUAGUGACCGAUAGUGAACCAGUACCGUGAGGGAAAGGUGAAAAGCACCCCGGAAGGGGAGUGAAAUAGAACCUGAAACCGUGUGCUUACAAGUAGUCAGAGCCCGUUAAUGGGUGAUGGCGUGCCUUUUGUAGAAUGAACCGGCGAGUUACGAUUUGAUGCAAGGUUAAGCAGUAAAUGUGGAGCCGUAGCGAAAGCGAGUCUGAAUAGGGCGUUUAGUAUUUGGUCGUAGACCCGAAACCAGGUGAUCUACCCUUGGUCAGGUUGAAGUUCAGGUAACACUGAAUGGAGGACCGAACCGACUUACGUUGAAAAGUGAGCGGAUGAACUGAGGGUAGCGGAGAAAUUCCAAUCGAACCUGGAGAUAGCUGGUUCUCUCCGAAAUAGCUUUAGGGCUAGCCUCAAGUGAUGAUUAUUGGAGGUAGAGCACUGUUUGGACGAGGGGCCCCUCUCGGGUUACCGAAUUCAGACAAACUCCGAAUGCCAAUUAAUUUAACUUGGGAGUCAGAACAUGGGUGAUAAGGUCCGUGUUCGAAAGGGAAACAGCCCAGACCACCAGCUAAGGUCCCAAAAUAUAUGUUAAGUGGAAAAGGAUGUGGCGUUGCCCAGACAACUAGGAUGUUGGCUUAGAAGCAGCCAUCAUUUAAAGAGUGCGUAAUAGCUCACUAGUCGAGUGACACUGCGCCGAAAAUGUACCGGGGCUAAACAUAUUACCGAAGCUGUGGAUUGUCCUUUGGACAAUGGUAGGAGAGCGUUCUAAGGGCGUUGAAGCAUGAUCGUAAGGACAUGUGGAGCGCUUAGAAGUGAGAAUGCCGGUGUGAGUAGCGAAAGACGGGUGAGAAUCCCGUCCACCGAUUGACUAAGGUUUCCAGAGGAAGGCUCGUCCGCUCUGGGUUAGUCGGGUCCUAAGCUGAGGCCGACAGGCGUAGGCGAUGGAUAACAGGUUGAUAUUCCUGUACCACCUAUAAUCGUUUUAAUCGAUGGGGGGACGCAGUAGGAUAGGCGAAGCGUGCGAUUGGAUUGCACGUCUAAGCAGUAAGGCUGAGUAUUAGGCAAAUCCGGUACUCGUUAAGGCUGAGCUGUGAUGGGGAGAAGACAUUGUGUCUUCGAGUCGUUGAUUUCACACUGCCGAGAAAAGCCUCUAGAUAGAAAAUAGGUGCCCGUACCGCAAACCGACACAGGUAGUCAAGAUGAGAAUUCUAAGGUGAGCGAGCGAACUCUCGUUAAGGAACUCGGCAAAAUGACCCCGUAACUUCGGGAGAAGGGGUGCUCUUUAGGGUUAACGCCCAGAAGAGCCGCAGUGAAUAGGCCCAAGCGACUGUUUAUCAAAAACACAGGUCUCUGCUAAACCGUAAGGUGAUGUAUAGGGGCUGACGCCUGCCCGGUGCUGGAAGGUUAAGAGGAGUGGUUAGCUUCUGCGAAGCUACGAAUCGAAGCCCCAGUAAACGGCGGCCGUAACUAUAACGGUCCUAAGGUAGCGAAAUUCCUUGUCGGGUAAGUUCCGACCCGCACGAAAGGCGUAACGAUUUGGGCACUGUCUCAACGAGAGACUCGGUGAAAUCAUAGUACCUGUGAAGAUGCAGGUUACCCGCGACAGGACGGAAAGACCCCGUGGAGCUUUACUGUAGCCUGAUAUUGAAAUUCGGCACAGCUUGUACAGGAUAGGUAGGAGCCUUUGAAACGUGAGCGCUAGCUUACGUGGAGGCGCUGGUGGGAUACUACCCUAGCUGUGUUGGCUUUCUAACCCGCACCACUUAUCGUGGUGGGAGACAGUGUCAAGCGGGCAGUUUGACUGGGGCGGUCGCCUCCUAAAAGG